rnacentral:lncRNA from 1 species
UCCCGGCUGGUGGGGUCCUCCGGCCCUCCCCUCCGGGGCACCCCCCGACCCCCCACCCCCGAGUGUGGACUGAGCCGCCUCCGCUGAGCCCAGAGUGGCCUGUGACAGCGUGCCUCCCCACUAGAUCCGCUCGGUGAUCAGGAGGAGCCGGGAGACUGGCCACGCUCACCCCAUGUCCCGGGAGCCCUCCCCUCGCCGCCGGCUGGACCCCGCCACCCUAAGCAGGACCCCGUCCCAGGAGCGGCUCAUCGCCGAGCUGCAGGGUCGGCUGGGCAUCCGGCCGGAGGCAGAGGAGGCCGUGGGGGCCACAGGGGCCUCCACCGAGGACUGGCUGACCGAGGGCGUCGUCAUCACCGUGCAGCCGCGUGGGAGGCGGGCUGGGGGGCAGCUGGUGGAGAAGGUCGUCUUCCCUCCUGGCUCUCCUCUUCCCCUGCGGAGAACCUUCUCUGUUCUGCCUUCUCCUCUUCCUCCUCCCAGCCCUCUGCUCCAGCACCGCAAAGACACCUCCUCGGCCAGCAGCUCUCCUCCCCUUCCCAGCCCACCCCCACCC